rnacentral:rRNA from 1 species
GACGAACGCUGGCGGCGUGCCUAAUACAUGCAAGUCGAGCGGACUUAAAAAGCUUGCUUUUUAAGUUAGCGGCGGACGGGUGAGUAACACGUGGGCAACCUGCCUGUAAGACUGGGAUAACUUCGGGAAACCGGAGCUAAUACCGGAUAAUCCUUUUCUACUCAUGUAGAAAAGCUGAAAGACGGUUUACGCUGUCCCUUACAGAUGGGCCCGCGGCGCAUUAGCUAGUUGGUGAGGUAACGGCUCACCAAGGCGACGAUGCGUAGCCGACCUGAGAGGGUGAUCGGCCACACUGGGACUGAGACACGGCCCAGACUCCUACGGGAGGCAGCAGUAGGGAAUCUUCCGCAAUGGGCGAAAGUCUGACGGAGCAACGCCGCGUGAGUGAUGAAGGUUUUCGGAUCGUAAAACUCUGUUGUUAGGGAAGAACAAGUACGAGAGUAACUGCUCGUACCUUGACGGUACCUAACCAGAAAGCCACGGCUAACUACGUG